rnacentral:rRNA from 1 species
GUUUGAUCCUGGCUCAGGAUGAACGCUGGCGGCGUGGAUAAGGCAUGCAAGUCGUGGGAGGCUUCGAGCCGACCGGCGAACGGGUUAGUAACACGUAGAUUAUCAACCGUCAACACACGCAUAACUAGCCGAAAGGUUAGCUAAUUCGUGAUAGUCUGGUAGUUGAAAGAUUCGGCUACCAGUAAAGGUAUAGAGUAAUCUAUGCCGGUUGACGAUGAGUCUGCGGCCUAUCAGCUAGUUGGUAAGGUAAUGGCUUACCAAGGCAAUGACGGGUAGGGGGUGUGAGAGCACGAUCCCCAACAGAGGCACUGAGACACGGGCCUCACUCCUACGGGAGGCAGCAGUCGAGAAUCUUCGGCAAUGGGCGAAAGCUGGACCGAGCGACGCCGCGUGCGGGAAGAAGACCUUCGGGCUGUAAACCGCUUUUAACCGGGAUGAACCUUCGGGUGACAGUACCGGUUGAAUAAGGGGCCGCUAAACUCGUGCCAGCAGCGGCGGUAAUACGAGUGCCCCAAGCGUUAUCCGGAUUUAUUGGGCGUAAAGAGUCCGUAGACGCCUCGUCAAGUUUUCUAUUAAAUUUCCAGGGCUUAACCUUGGAAUUAUGGGAAAAACUAACGAGGUAGAGGGCGUCARAGGCCAGUGGAACACACGGUGUAGGGGUGAAAUCCGUUKAUAUCGUGUGAACACMAAAAGCGAAGGCAGYUGGCUGGGGCGACCCUDACGUUGAGGGACGAAACCGUGGGGAGCGACAAGGAUUAGAUACCCUUUUAGKCCACGCCCUAAACGAUGGAUGCUAGCUGGUGGGAGUGUCGACCCUUUCACUGGCGAAACUAACGCGUUAAGCAUCCCGCCUGGGAAGUACGGUCGCAAGGCUGAAACUCAAAGGAAUAGACGGGGGUCUACACAAGCGGUGGACCACGUGGCUUAAUUCGACGACAAGCGAAGAACCUUACCAGGACUUGACAUAAUCAAGUGAAAAUCCACCGAAAGGCGGACUCCGCAAGGCACUUGAUACAGGUGCUGCAUGGUUGUCGUCAGCAGGUGCCGUGAGGUGCUCUCUUAAAUGAGGAAACCUGCGUAACCCUUGUCCUAUGUUUUACUUGUCAUAGGAGACUGCCUUAUUUUAUAAGGAGGAAGGUGGGGAUWGACGCCAAAUCAGCAUGGCCCUUACGUCCUGGGCAGCACACGUGGUACAAUGGCCGGUACAAAGGGUUGCCAAGCGGUAACGCGGAGCUAAUCCCAUCAAAGCCGGUCUCAGUUCGGAUCGAGGUCUGAAACUCGACCUCGUGAAGCUGGAAUCGCUAGUAAUCGCGAAUCAGCUAUGUCGCGAUGAAUAUGUCCCUAGACCUUGUACUCACCGCCCGUCACAUUAGGGAAGCCGGUAGUAGCCGAAACCCCAGCUUGACUGGGUCUAAGCUAAGAUCGGUGACCAGAAUGAAGUCGUAACAAGGUAGCCG